rnacentral:rRNA from 1 species
UCAUUUAGAGGAAGUAAAAGUCGUAACAAGGUCUCCGUAGGUGAACCUGCGGAGGGAUCAUUACAAGUGACCCCGGUCUAACCACCGGGAUGUUCAUAACCCUUUGUUGUCCGACUCUGUUGCCUCCGGGGCGACCCUGCCUUCGGGCGGGGGCUCCGGGUGGACACUUCAAACUCUUGCGUAACUUUGCAGUCUGAGUAAACUUAAUUAAUAAAUUAAAACUUUUAACAACGGAUCUCUUGGUUCUGGCAUCGAUGAAAAACGCAGCGAAAUGCGAUAAGUAAUGUGAAUUGCAGAAUUCAGUGAAUCAUCGAAUCUUUGAACGCACAUUGCGCCCCCUGGUAUUCCGGGGGGCAUGCCUGUUCGAGCGUCAUUUCACCACUCAAGCCUCGCUUGGUAUUGGGCAACGCGGUCCGCCGCGUGCCUCAAAUCGACCGGCUGGGUCUUCUGUCCCCUAAGCGUUGUGGAAACUAUUCGCUAAAGGGUGUUCGGGAGGCUACGCCGUAAAACAACCCCAUUUCUAAGGUUGACCUCGGAUCAGGUAGGGAUACCCGCUGAACUUAAGCAUAUCAAUAAG